rnacentral:rRNA from 1 species
CGUUGUGGAAACUAUUCGCUAAAGGGUGCUCGGGAGGCUACGCCGUAAAACAAACCCAUUUCUAAGGUUGACCUCGGAUCAGGUAGGGAUA